UCGCUUCGACAGCACAUAUACUAAAAUUGGAACUAUUCAGAGAAGAUUAGCAUGGCCCCUGUGCAAGGAUGACAAGCAAAUUCACAAAGAAGUCCUAAAAUACA